rnacentral:tRNA from 1 species
GAGGGUAUAGCUCAGUGGUAGAGUGCAUUCUCAGCAUGCAUGAGGUCCUGGGUUCAAUCCCCAGUCCCUCCA